rnacentral:rRNA from 1 species
CCUACGGGGGGCUGCAGUGGGGAAUAUUGGACAAUGGGGGCAACCCUGAUCCAGCCAUGCCGCGUGUGUGAAGAAGGCCCUCGGGUUGGAAAGCACUUUCAGUGAGGAAGAACGCCUGGUGGUUAAUACCCAUCAGGAAAGACAUCACUCACAGAAGAAGCACCGGCUAACUCCGUGCCAGCAGCCGCGGUAAUACGGAGGGUGCGAGCGUUAAUCGGAAUUACUGGGCGUAAAGCGCGCGUAGGUGGCUUGAUAAGCCGGUUGUGAAAGCCCCGGGCUCAACCUGGGAACGGCAUCCGGAACUGUCAAGCUAGAGUGCAGGAGAGGAAGGUAGAAUUCCCGGUGUAGCGGUGAAAUGCGUAGAGAUCGGGAGGAAUACCAGUGGCGAAGGCGGCCUUCUGGACUGACACUGACACUGAGGUGCGAAAGCGUGGGUAGCAAACAGGAUUAGAUACCCUGGUAGUC